GCUGGGUGUGUUGGCACAUGCCUGUAAUCCCAGAGGCUCAGGAGGCUGAGGGAGGAGGAUCGUGAGUUCAAAGCCAGUCUCAUCAACUUAACAAGGCCCUAAGCAACUCAGUGAGACCCUCUCUCUA
rnacentral:sRNA from 1 species